rnacentral:rRNA from 1 species
AUUGAACGCUGGCGGCAGGCUUAACACAUGCAAGUCGAACGAGUGGCGGACGGGUUAGUAAUGCUUGGGCAUCUAGCUUAUGGAGGGGGAUAACUACGGGAAACUGUAGCUAAUACCGCGUACCAUAGGAUGAGCCCAAGUGGGAUUAGGUAGUUGGUGAGGUAACGGCUCACCAAGCCGACGAUCCUUAGCUGGUCUGAGAGGAUGACCAGGCACACGCGGAUUGAGAAAAGGCCCAGACUACUACGUGAGGCAGCAGUGGGGAUUAUUGCGCAAUGUGGGUAACCUGAAGGAGCCAUGCCGCGUGAAUGAAGAAGGACUUCGGGUUGUAAAGCUCGUUAGGUAGCGAGGCGUUAAAUACAGAGGAAGCACCGGCUAACUCCGUGCCAGCAGCCGCGGUAAUAC